AGACGGAUUUGGAUUUUCACUCAGUGGCAGACGGGUGAGUAACGCGUGGGUAAUCUACCUCAAAGUCUGGGAUAACUUCUGGAAACGGACGCUAAUACCGGGAUAACCCAUAGAUAGAUAACUAUUUAUGUUGAAAGGAGCUUUCGCUUCGCUUUGAGAUGAGCUUGCGUUGUAUUAGCUAGUUGGUGGGGUAAUGGCCUACCAAGGCAACGAUGCAUAUCCGAGCUGAGAGGCUGAUCGGACACAUUGGGACUGAGACACGGCCCAGACUCCUACGGGAGACAGCAGUUAGGAAUAUUCGUCAAUGGGGGAAACCCUGAACGAGCAAUGCCGCGUGAAUGAUGACAAUCCUCUGGAUUGUAAAAUUCUGUUGUAAAGGACGAACCACUACUAUAGGAAAUGAUAGUAGCCUGACGGUACUUUACCAGAAAGCCCCGGCUAACUACGUGCCAGCAGCCGCGGUAAUACGUAGGGGGCGAGCGUUAUCCGGAUUUAUUGGGCGUAAAGCGUGUGUAGGCGGUUUAUUAAGUCUAGAAUUAAAGCCUGGGGCUUAACCCCAGUUCGUUCUAGAAACUGGUAGACUUGCAUGUUUGGGCCUGUA
rnacentral:rRNA from 1 species